rnacentral:rRNA from 1 species
GUGGGGAAUCUUCCGCAAUGGACGAAAGUCUGACGGAGCAACGCCGCGUGAGUGAUGAAGGUCUUCGGAUUGUAAAGCUCUGUUAAUCGGGACGAAAGAGCCUAGUGUGAAUAAUGCUAGGAAGUGACGGUACCGGAAUAGAAAGCCACGGCUAACUACGUGCCAGCAGCCGCGGUAAUACGUAGGUGGCAAGCGUUGUCCGGAAUUAUUGGGCGUAAAGCGCGCGCAGGCGGAUCUGCCAGUCUGUCUUAAAAGUUCGGGGCUUAACCCCGUGAUGGGAUGGAAACUACAGAUCUAGAGUAUCGGAGAGGAAAGUGGAAUUCCUAGUGUAGCGGUGAAAUGCGUAGAUAUUAGGAGGAACACCAGUGGCGAAGGCGGCUUGCUGGACGAUAACUGACGCUGAGGCGCGAAAGCGUGGGGAGCAAACAGGAUUAGAAACCCGAGUAGUCC